rnacentral:rRNA from 1 species
GCAGCACGGGAGCAAUCCUGGUGGCGAGUGGCGAACGGGUGAGUAAUAUAUCGGAACGUGCCCAGUCGUGGGGGAUAACGUAGCGAAAGUUACGCUAAUACCGCAUACGAUCUACGGAUGAAAGCGGGGGAUCGCAAGACCUCGCGCGAUUGGAGCGGCCGAUAUCAGAUUAGCUUGUUGGUGGGGUAAAAGCCCACCAAGGCGACGAUCUGUAGCUGGUCUGAGAGGACGACCAGCCACACUGGGACUGAGACACGGCCCAGACUCCUACGGGAGGCAGCAGUGGGGAAUUUUGGACAAUGGGCGCAAGCCUGAUCCAGCAAUGCCGCGUGCAGGAUGAAGGCCUUCGGGUUGUAAACUGCUUUUGUACGGAACGAAACGGUCCUUUCUAAUACAAGGGGCUAAUGACGGUACCGUAAGAAUAAGCACCGGCUAACUACGUGCCAGCAGCCGCGGUAAUACGUAGGGUGCGAGCGUUAAUCGGAAUUACUGGGCGUAAAGCGUGCGCAGGCGGUUUUGUAAGACAGAUGUGAAAUCCCCGGGCUCAACCUGGGACCUGCAUUUGUGACUGCAAGGCUGGAGUACGGUAGAGGGGGAUGGAAUUCCGCGUGUAGCAGUGAAAUGCGUAGAUAUGCGGAGGAACACCGAUG